rnacentral:rRNA from 1 species
CAAUAGCGUAUAUUAAAGUUGUUGCAGUUAAAAAGCUCGUAGUUGGACUUCUGGUGGGAGCGAUCGGUCUGGCGCUUAGCGCGAGUACUUGCAUCGUCUCCGGCCAUCCUUGGGGAAAGUCUGUCUGGCAUUAAGUUGUCGGGCAGAGGAUCCUCAUCGUUUACUGUGAAAAAAUUAGAGUGUUCAAAGCAGGCUUAUGCCGUUGAAUAUAUUAGCAUGGAAUAAUAAGAUAGGACUUUGGUACUAUUUUGUUGGUUUGCGCACCAAAGUAAUGAUUAAUAGGGACAGUUGGGGGUAUUCGUAUUCCGUUGUCAGAGGUGAAAUUCUUGGAUUUACGGAAGACGAACUACUGCGAAAGCAUUUACCAAGGAUGUUUUCAUUAA